rnacentral:snRNA from 1 species
CAUUUCCACCUCCUUAAAAGAUU